rnacentral:rRNA from 1 species
UACGGGGGGGGGCAAGCGUUGUUCGGAAUUACUGGGCGUAAAGGGCUCGUAGGCGGCCAACUAAGUCGGACGUGAAAUCCCCAGGCUCAACCCGGGAACUGCGUCCGAUACUGGCAGGCUUGAAUUCGGGAGAGGGAAGCGGAAUUCUCGGUGUAGAGGUGAAAUUCGUAGAUAUCGAGAGGAACACCGGUGGCGAAGGCGGCUUCCUGGACAGUGACUGACGCUGAGAUGCGAAAGCGUGGGGAGCAAACAGG